rnacentral:rRNA from 1 species
AUUGAACGCUAGCGGGAUGCUUUACACAUGCAAGUCGAACGAGUGGCGGACGGGUGAGUAAUAUAUCGGAACGUGCCCAGUAGCGGGGGAUAACUACUCGAAAGAGUGGCUAAUAACGCAUACUAUUGGAGCGGCCGAUAUCGGAUUAGCUAGUUGGUGGGGUAAAGGCUCACCAGGACAACGAUCCGUAGCUGGUUUGAGAGGACGACCGCGAACAUGGGAACGUAGACAGGGCCCAGACUCUUACGGGAGGAAGCAGUGGGGAAUUUUGGACAAUGGGGGAAACCCUGAUCCAGCCAUCCCGCGUGUAUGAGAAGGCCUUCGGGUUGUAAAGUACUUUUGGCAGAGAAGCGGUAUCUGCAGAAUAAGCACCGGCUAACUACGUGCCAGCAGCCGCGGUAAUAC